UUGCACACUCCUCUCAGACUCGCCCUCAUGUCUUACUUUUGAUAUUACUCUUCUUCCGUUACUUUUGGCAUUCAUUUCAAUUUUUCUUCCAUUCAGUGUGCUAGGCGUUACGCUAAGGUGGUGAAUGUCUAAUCAAAACUCUUUUAUGAAUCAAAAAACAAAAAAAGGAUGAUUCAUGCCAUUUUUAAAGGGUUUUCUACUUAAUUAUCGACAACUCCAGGUAGAAAGUUCAAAAGAUUUAGGCUUAGAUCUAUCAGUUUCAAGGUACUCGGUGCAACCAAAUAAGAAAUCAAUUUCAUAACCAAAAUCCCUUUCAGACGUCGUCAGUCCAUUGCAACUCCAUUAUCCCAGGUAAUACCGAAUACCAAUGUUUUCUGUGGGAGUCAAUGGAAGGAAUACAAAUCAGACAUUGCAAUUGUGUCUAAUGCCAAUUGCACCACAAACUGCCUCCCUUCUUUUCCCAAGAUUAUCAUUGGCAGAUACAUUGAAGGUCUUAUGACUGCCUCCCAUUCCAUCGCAUCCGAUCAUUAAGCAGCAAGGACUGGAGAAGUGGAGGAUUUGCUUUAUUCAACAUAAUUUCCAGCAACACAAAAGCUUCCAAGUUUCAAUGUUUGGUUGCAUAUAUUUUGUGCUAAACGUUUUUCAAGGACCAAAGUUUGUGAAUAGUUGAUGAGAUUAAAUCUAAAUCCACAGUAUCUCAUCUCGCCUAAGUUUAAAUCUAGAGUGUUCCAUUUCUGUGCUGGGGAACUUUUCUCAAGCAGUCAGCUCAAGAAACAUGCCCCUCAUACGAACUUUUGUCAUGGUUUCAGGCUCUGCAUUUGGCGAACAACAAGUAUAACAUAGAGAUAGAGUGUAUGGAUCAUUUUGUAAUCUAUAGAGAGUAUAGUACACUUGUUGCGGUAUUAGAUAUCCACUCUUUGUCUCUCUCUCUCACAUUACUUGAUGCUCUUUUUGGCAAUUAGUACUCGCAUUCUUUUUUUCAAUCCCUUUUUGCAGUAAAACUGCAUGAGACCUCUGGAGGUCCAUGGCAAUCCAUUGGUCUCUUACCUCAUUCCAUCCUUCUCACGAGAGAAUAUGAAGGACCCCUAACCUUGGUACGAAUGUUAAAAUGGUCACAGUUGGAGCUCUCUAAUAAAAGUAUGUUUUAUUACAUAUUCUAUUGAGGUAAAAAAAAUUGUGGUUCGAUAUCACUCAUGAUUAAAGUUUCUUAUUACAACUCUUUGCAUUCUCAUUUUACUUUGCCCAAUUGGCGUACCACUGUACCUCAAUUGUCUUAUUUAUUAAGGAAUGCAGGAAUUGUCGUCAUAAUCCUACUAUUAUUUUACAGAAUUAAAGUUUUUUGUAUUCUUAGGCAACGGUGAUUUCUUAGGUGAUCAACUGGCAAUAACAAAGGACACAGAUAAAAUGAACAUGGGCAACAGAAACUGGACAAACAACGAGUUUGUGUGUCAAUUUAGCGGGAUAGAGCCAUGUGUUAGUGUUGCAGGUCACAUGAUAUUCAUUUUUGUAUUUGAUGGGAAAAACUAUGAUCAGUUGAUGAGACUACAGUCAAUCGUUUUUAAGGAAAAGAAAGAGAUGAAUUUAAGUUAUUUUUUAUAA